GAGCGACGCCUGCACCGCUUCGGCCGCAGAGAAAGCGAGCAGCGAGCCCUCCUUGGCCAAGAAGGCUUUGCCGUCUUCCGCAUCCGCUUGGAGCGCCUCGGCUUUGUCGAAGUUGCCGCCUCCGGGCAGUGGCUGUGGAGCGAACUUGCGGGCAGCCGCCGCCUCUUGGUGCUGGGGCGACGCAGAGAAGCCGCCGGGCAGAGUGGCCAUGAGCGUGGAGGCACUAAUUAAGCACGUUGGCAACGGAGGGAGCUCUCACCCUGGCUCUGCGCAGCGCGAGGACUCCUGGGCACGCGGUUCCCCUUUGCGGACUGCUGGAUGGAGCUGAGUCCCUCAAGAUAUUUCCCCUGUUCUCGACAAUGGUCCCCCGGGGACGUCUCAAUCCUAGAGAUCUUCUCGGGCCAAGAAUCUUGCCAGAGAGCAACUGCCCACCCAGAGAGAAUAACCGCUUCCUUGAUUUACGCAACCGCAGCCAGGGACCUUCGUGCUUGCCUGCAAGAGGACUGGGUGAGCAGUUACUCAUUCACCUGACUCUCCUGCCUUCCAUUUUGCACUUUCACUGUAAAAAAAAAAAAAAUUAUUGUAGAGACUUCUGUCGCCUGGCCACAGGGAGAGACAAGGAUCCCUUUGGCUAUUUUAGUAAUUCCAUACUUAAAGUUCAGCAACAAGAUUGAGGUCCCUUGAAUUAUAGACACACUUGAAGUAAUUUGAUGGCAUAUUAUUUGUGUCCAUAAAUUGCCACGAAAAGUAUUGACUGCAGGAGUUAUAAUGCUAAUCUUUUAUUAGUGAGUUCAGAUAAUUUUUCAUCAAUACGAAUUUUAUUUACUAGUGGGCUUUUCUCGAAUGCUUGCAGUAAUAUUUUUCUCAUCUAAUGCUUAUUAACUGCUUAGAAAAUGACUGUUUGCAUCGUAAAAGGAUCCUUAUGUUUUGACGUGAUUGACAAGAUCCAUUCCGGGACACUUCAGUUACGUGCAAAAAAAAAAAAAACCACCAAAAAACCAAACCAAAACAAAAACAAAAACCCGCUGCGCGCCUGGGGGCUGCGGACGGACGACAGAAGCUUUCGGAGUCCCGACUGCGCUGAAGAGAUUAAUGCACUAGGAACGACAGGUACGCGCAUCUGUCCUUCGAAUUCCUACCUGCCUAGCUCCGAACAGUCUCAACCGCAGAGUCAACUCGGCCCCGCUGCGCGGGAAAACCACCCUGCUCAGAUCUUAGUAACUAGGCUCAGAGAGCCCCGCCCCCCUCCAAUUAGGAAAAAGGUUGGGCGCGCGGGAAGGGAGAGCUGGGUUCCCCCAACUCCAGUUAACUUCUGCGAACUUUUUCUCUGGAAGCAUCCUUCACAGAUGAAGAUAGUCCAGUCCCGGAGGUAUUUUACUGCUGCCAAGAGAGUGUCAGUAUCGUAUUAAGCCACUUACAGAGUGGCUGAGACGUUCAAUAAAAGUGAUGGUAAUUAA
rnacentral:lncRNA from 1 species